rnacentral:misc_RNA from 1 species
GGAAAAACCACAAAAGUAUAACGGAUUCGAAACUUAAAAAGUGACGCCCUCUCUGCUCACGUGUACGAUUAAUUCCCGGGAUUCGCAUCGCAGCCAGCCAUGGCCGAAAUGCGAAAUCUCACACCGAUCUGAUCUCCAGCUCACGACCCGGCCCUUCCCACUCCUCCUCUCUCUCUCACUUAAUUUUCCACUGUAACUCCCUCACUGUCAAUCAUUGCGAUACUCUCUGUGCCUUCAUUGCCCAUUUCCUUUUCUUCUUUUAAAUUUUCAAUUCCUAACCCAUCUCUACUUCUUCAACCUCCAUUCUCUUUUUAAACCUUCUCUUGCCU